UACGUAGGGGGCUAGCGUUGUCCGGAAUCAUUGGGCGUAAAGAGCGUGUAGGCGGCUCGAUAAGUCCGCUGUGAAAGUCCAGGGCUCAACCCUGGGAUGCCGGUGGAUACUGUCGGGCUCGAGUCCGGAAGAGGCGAGUGGAAUUCCUGGUGUAGCGGUGAAAUGCGCAGAUAUCAGGAGGAACACCAAUGGCGAAGGCAGCUCGCUGGGACGUGACUGACGCUGAGACGCGAAAGCGUGGGGAGCAAACGGG
rnacentral:rRNA from 1 species